ACCUGUGUUCCACGCUGUCGGUUCGCCGCCCGUCGGUGUUAACUGGCAUGUCCUGUGGAACGUCCUGCCGGUGGCGGUCCGGGCGUUCGGCUUGCGUAAAGGCUCACGCCCGAAGCAGGUCGAGCAGUUCCGGCCGCCGGUCCAAUCCCGCCACGGUGCUCUUCACCGAGUGUCGAGGUGGGCCGGCACGUUUACUUUGAACAAAUUAGAGUGCUUAAAGCAGGCUGGUGUCCGCCUGAAUACUGUGUGCAUGGAAUAAUAGAAUAGGACCUCGGUUCUAUUUUGUUGGUUUUCGGAACCCGAGGUAAUGAUUAAUAGGGACAGGCGGGGGCAUUCGUAUUGCGACGUUAGAGGUGAAAUUCUUGGAUCGUCGCAAGACGAACCUAAGCGAAAGCAUUUGCCAAGUAUGUUCUCGUUAAUCAAGAACGAAAGUUAGAGGUUCGAAGGCGAUCAGAUACCGCCCUAGUUCUAACCAUAAACGAUGCCAGCCAGCGAUCCGCCGAAGUUCCUCCGAUGACUCGGCGGGCAGCUUCCGGGAAACCAAAGCUUUUGGGUUCCGGGGGAAGUAUGGUUGCAAAGCUGAAACUUAAAGGAAUUGACGGAAGGGCACCACCAGGAGUGGAGCCUGCGGCUUAAUUUGACUCAACACGGGAAACCUCACCAGGCCCGGACACCGGAAGGAUUGACAGAUUGAGAGCUCUUUCUUGAUUCGGUGGGUGGUGGUGCAUGGCCGUUCUUAGUUGGUGGAGCGAUUUGUCUGGUUAAUUCCGAUAACGAACGAGACUCUAGCCUGCUAACUAGGCGAUUUCCGGUACCCACAAUAGUGUUACCGGCGAUUCAAUUUCUUCUUAGAGGGACAGGCGGCUCCUAGCCGCACGAGACUGAGCAAUAACAGGUCUGUGAUGCCCUUAGAUGUCCUGGGCCGCACGCGCGCUACACUGAAGGAAUCAGCGUGUCUUCCCUGGCCGACAGGCCCGGGUAACCCGUUGAACCUCCUUCGUGCUAGGGAUUGGGGCUUGCAAUUGUUCCCCAUGAACGAGGAAUUCCCAGUAAGCGCGAGUCAUAAGCUCGCGUUGAUUACGUCCCUGCCCUUUGUACACACCGCCCGUCGCUACUACCGAUUGAAUGAUUUAGUGAGGUCUUCGGACUGGUGCGCGGCGAUCGGUCCUGCCGGCCGCCGAUGUUGCUGGAAAGAUGACCAAACUUGAUCAUUUAGAGGAAGUAAAAGUCGUAACAAGGUUUCC
rnacentral:rRNA from 1 species